rnacentral:rRNA from 1 species
UUUAUUGGGCGUAAAGCGAGCGCAGGCGGUUCUUUAAGUCUGAUGUGAAAGCCCCUGGCUCAACCAGGGAGGGUCAUUGGAAACUGGAGAACUUGAGUGCAGAAGAGGAAAGUGGAAUUCCAUGUGUAGCGGUGAAAUGCGUAGAUAUAUGGAGGAACACCAGUGGCGAAGGCGACUUUCUGGUCUGUAACUGACGCUGAGGCUCGAAAGCAUGGGGAGCAAACAGGAUUAGAUACCCUGGUAGUCCAUGCCGUAAACGAUGAGUGCUAAGUGUUGGAGGGUUUCCGCCCUUCAGUGCUGCAGCUAACGCAUUAAGCACUCCGCCUGGGGAGUACGACCGCAAGGUUGAAACUCAAAGGAAUUGACGGGGGCCCGCACAAGCGGUGGAGCAUGUGGUUUAAUUCGAAGCAACGCGAAGAACCUUACCAGGUCUUGACAUCCUUUGACCACUCUAGAGAUAGAGCUUUCCCUUCGGGGACAAAGUGACAGGUGGUGCAUGGUUGUCGUCAGCUCGUGUCGUGAGAUGUUGGGUUAAGUCCCGCAACGAGCGCAACCCUUAUUAUUAGUUGCCAGCAUUCAGUUGGGCACUCUAGUGAGACUGCCGGUGAUAAACCGGAGGAAGGUGGGGAUGACGUCAAAUCAUCAUGCCCCUUAUGACCUGGGCUACACACGUGCUACAAUGGAUGGUACAACGAGUCGCAAAACCGCGAGGUUAAGCUAAUCUCUUAAAGCCAUUCUCAGUUCGGAUUGUAGGCUGCAAUUCGCCUACAUGAAGCCGGAAUCGCUAGUAAUCGCGGAUCAGAACGCCGCGGUGAAUACGUUCCCGGGCCUUGUACACACCGCCCGUCACACCACGAGAGUUUGUAACACCCAAAGUCGGUGAGGUAACCUUCGGGAGCCAGCCGCCUAAGGUGGGACAGAUAAUUGGGGUG